rnacentral:lncRNA from 1 species
AGAGAGACUCGUUUAAAAAUAUCAUUUUAACAUGUAAAAAUAUCAAUUUCCUAGAUAAACUAUGCCGUCAAACUACAUAAAAUUAAAUUCUUAUCAAAAAUAAAAACAAAAGAAAAUACUUGGAUUUUUUUUUGCAGAUCAAAGUAGUUUUUUACUAUAAUUAUUCAUACACAACAAGGCCAGAGUGCCAUAAACUUUUGCUACAUGGACAUUAUUCAAGAUACUAAAGGUUAGCCUCAUAGUAAUAAUUAGCCAACCCUAGCACUCAUAACUAUUUUACAUAGAUAAUACUCCCAAAAGCAUUAAUUAAACAAGACAGUAGUCCAUUUUGUAGCCGUACCAUUUGUGCUAUAUUAUAGAAUUGGUCCUCGGAUCCGCAAUUUUCAUUUUAGAAGGUAGUGUUACGAAUUUGAGGCGGUAGUCAUCAGUAGCGUCAUCGGUAGGGCAAUCUACGAACCUUGUUGCUUGUUGGUUCAUGCAUACAUUAAUAUCCGUAAGCACAUAUUCUGAGUUUUCGUUUUUGGUGAAAUCGAUUUCUGGCACAGCAUUCAAGUGCUUUUUGAUUGCUUCUUUUAUCAUUUUAGGACGAUAAAGGUCGUUAUUCGGGUGAAUCCCUACACAUUUUUGAAUAGUAAUCUCAUCAAACUCACAUUAUCAUUUUACUUAGGAAGCAAUGAACCAAAUUAAAGACUAUUUAAUUAUAUAUGAAUGGGUAUGUUUACCUUCCUGGUUUAGUAGCCCAAUUAUAUCAAAUGCUUUUCUAAAAGCAAGCGCCGUUCUAAAAUAAUCAGUCUGCUUCAACAAUGCUUCUGAACACCUUCCAUGUUUCUUCCACUCGUAUUCCCAGAAUUGUACGUCCUCGGUGUUAGUUUCAUGACUCGGCCAUGCAAGAUGCAUUUCUGCUCGAAAGUCCGAUACCUUUAAUUUUCAAAAUGAAGGAGGAGAGAUAUUAGUUUAACAUAUGUGAGUAUGUAUGGAUAUAUUGCAUGUACACUUUCAAUUUUUUAUCAAACAAACUUAUGACUUAUCCAACUCUUCAAGAUAUAUAUAAAUGUUACCACAAAAAAAAAACAUAUUUAAUAGACAAUAGAGCAAGAAUUUUAAGUAGUAAAUUAAAUGCAGACCGAGAGAACUCACAGAGUUAACAUCAAAGGCAGUUCCGUCACAAUAUAACCCUGGGGUCCCCUUCUCGUUAUAGGGAUAAAGGCCGUGAAUGGUAAAUGUGUUGAGGAGAGACUUUGUAUCACAGGCAUUGUUGACCUCGCAAAAUCCAGCUGGCCAUUGAAGCCUUAGGGCAAACAUUGCCAAUGGAUAAUCUGAUCGAGCAUUCCCACCCCAAGAGAAAAUGCUCAAGCUCACUAUAAUGAUGCUGAUAAUAUAUAUUGCCCUCAUGAUCUCUUCAAACUUCAACAACUUUUUUCUUAAGAAAUGAAGUGUGUGUUUUCUGUGAUCUCUAGACUUCCAUGCAUACCCUUUUAUAGUCACCAGUUCUUUUUUAAUUAUAAUAAGAAAAAACUUAUAAAAUAUUUUUAUUUAUAUUUUUGAGUGUUAAUUUAUCCGUAA